UACGUAGGUGGCAAGCGUUGUCCGGAUUUAUUGGGCGUAAAGAGCGUGUAGGCGGCCAGGUAGGUCUGGUGUGAAAACUCGAGGCUUAGCCUUGAGAUGUCAUCGGAAACCAUUUGGCUAGAGUCCGGAAGAGGAAAGUGGAAUUCCUGGUGUAGCGGUGAAAUGCGCAGAUAUCAGGAAGAACACCAAUGGCGAAAGCAGCUUUCUGGGACGGUACUGACGCUGAGACGCGAAAGCGUGGGGAGCGAACAGG
rnacentral:rRNA from 1 species